UAGGGAAUAUUGCACAAUGGGCGAAAGCCUGAUGCAGCAACGCCGCGUGCGCGAUGAAGGCCUUCGGGUCGUAAAGCGCUUUUCGGGGAGAUGAGGAAGGACAGUAUCCCCGGAAUAAGUCUCGGCUAACUACGUGCCAGCAGCCGCGGUAACACGUAGGAGGCAAGCGUUAUCCGAAUUUACUGGGCGUAAAGCGCGUGCAGGCGGUUCGGUAAGUUGGAUGUGAAAUCUCCCGGCUCAACUGGGAGAGGUCGUUCAAUACUGUCGGACUAGAGGAUGGUAGAGGGAGGUGGAACUCCCAGUGUAGUGGUGAAAUGCGUAGAUAUCGGGAGGAACACCAGUGGCGAAAGCGGCCUCCUGGACCAUUCCUGACGCUCAGACGCGAAAGCUAGGGGAGCGAACGG
rnacentral:rRNA from 1 species